CCCUCCUACAAAGGCGUGUCUGUGGUUUCCUAUCUUUGGACACGUAAGAAUUGGAGGCAAAGAAAUGUGGACUUGGAGAAAUCUGGGGCCAGCUUGCACCCUGCAGGCUCAAGAUCAACCAUCCCACAAAG
rnacentral:snoRNA from 1 species